AUUACAUAGAUUAUUCGUUAUGGAGUGUUCCACGUAGACAUUUUUCUACGGUGGCCCUGAAGUGCAAAUCACCACCACAAAUAGGAAGAAAACACAAACAAAACACAAAUUAAACAUCGCUUAGUGCGAUCCGCGCCCUCCCCUCUCGAUAAAUCUAAUUGGUAUCGCCCACCUCCUGUUUACCAGUCGGACCUUCCACUCACUCACGCGGAGCCAGCAGGAGCAGGAGCAGGAGGAGACACCGAGGAGGACGAGGAGCAGCGGGUACAAGCAUUUUGUAACUGCUGCUUAAAAAAUGAUCCACAUAUUUCUUAGAUGUUUUGUUGACGCUUUGUUCACACCUGCUGUUAACAUCCGACCCGAUUGAUCCGAUCACAGCUCUUUAUCGGGCAGAAUAGUGGGCGGAGUCUGGUUCUUCACGCUCAUCAUCAUCUCCUCGUACACGGCAAACCUGGCUGCCUUGCUUAUCGUGGAGAGGAUGGUGUCGCCUAUCGAAGAGGGUAUGGGCGCCGAGGAUCUGGCCAACAGACCGACAUCGCCUACGGCACUCCACCAAAGAGUUCUUCAGGCUCACAUUUACUGAAGCCAUGAGGAACAAGGCCCGUCUGUCCAUCACGGGCAGUGUCGGGGAGAGCGGACGGGUGCUGAUGCCCGACUGUUCCUAGGCCGUUCACGCCGGGCCUCCCCUCCGUCAGAGCUCCGGCCUCGCCCUGGUCUCCUCUGAGCUCCCGUGAAAACCAAAAACCUCUCAAGUGCCUUAAUUCCAAUAACAAUAGACAAAGAAAAAAAACACUCUUCACAUCAAUCACAACAACCACAAACUACCCACAAAGGAACAGGAGUCACACACACAACAUCAGGUCACCUCCAGGGGGGCGAGACAGCACCGACAGAGAAGCAGAAAGGUCAGGACUUGGCUCGACAACUUCCCCCUGAAGUCUGUGGAAACCAGAGGCAGACUGUUUUUAUUUUUACAAUUUUUUUUGAAUCAUGGGAAUCGACUCCAGUGACAGGGAAGGAAAACGAAAUAAUAUCAUGAUUUAUGAUAAAGACGAAGACCAGAAAACUGUAAACUUGAAACUCAAACAGUGUUUUUUUUUCCCUUUGGGAUCGCUGUGAAUUAGCAAAAACAAAAAAAACACUGUACCACAAUCAAGAUUGUUUGGAAACGGAACAGUAUUUGCUACACAAACCGCGUUCAUGAGACAACAAUCUUACUAGAUAUCAACAAGUGGCAGCACGGGCGAGAGCUGUUGCCCAGUGCUGUGAAGAUAUGAGGAAAAAUAUUUGUAUUCAUACAUUAAAAGUAAAAAAAAUAGAAGAAUCUAUGAAUAUAUGAGCAAAGAUUGAAAACUGUGAAAAUAAGUAAAUAUGUAUAUUCCAUGACAAACUAAAUAACUCUAGCUGUACAUAGGAGACAACUGUAUAACAUGCUUGCGUUUUAAAAGCUGUACAUAACAAAUACUGAUAACAAAUACUUUUUUGUUUUUGUAAAUCAUCUUCAAGGAAUUUAUGCAUCGCAAUAAUGAAAAAGAUGACGCCACUUGAAGGAGAAGCCGUGUUAAAGUGAUAGUUCAGUGUUUGUUUUUUCAAAGCUACUUUGAGCGUUGACUUCUGACACAUAAGCUGCUUAUUGGCCAUUUAACAAAUGGCUCAUCUUAUAAAAUCUAUGCCUGCUCAAGUCUGUGAUAUGUUAAGAAGAUGUUUGUCACUAUACCUCACUGUAAAGACGGAGUUUGUGCCACUUUGUAAACCGCUUACUCCCUGCACUGAAGCCCAUAGAGAAAAUCUAUGAUUUUAAAUCACAGCACAUCGGAGCUUCAGAUACUUUGGCAGGCUUUGAUUUUAUAAUGUGGGCCUUUUGUUGGGAGUGUGCAAGAAAUAGGAGGGUUCACUAGCAGAAAAUGUAAUAUAUUACCCAUAACUUUGUUUGUAUUACUCUAAUAUCACUUUAAAAUUAAAUACAAAAUGUUUGUGUUUUGUAGACCUAGAAUGAGUUUAAAUUUGUGAAGGCAAUUUAUUCCAGAGAAAAACAGGAUACCUUUGAAAAAUUACUGGAGGAAAGCCUCAGUGAAUUACAAUCUGCAGUCUCACCACCAGAUGGCACUAACUCUCACACCUUGAGCCUUUAAGUUAAAUGGCUAAAAACAGUUUUUUGCUUUUGUCCGCACCAUGUUUUCGGUGACGGUCGCACACAGUGUACAUUUCAGAAGGAAAAAACUAUCCCAAACUAUCCCUUUAAAUCUGGACUGUAUUUGUGUAGGAAACUUUCAGACUCUAAAUGUGAACAGGUAUCAACUGCCCAAAUACUUCUGAUACCUGGUGAAUACAAAUUAAUAUUAAUACUAAUAAUACUAAUAAUAAUAAUAAUACAAAAAAUAUAUAGUCAACAAUGAAUGUAAAACUAUAGCUCCACCCACACUCCUUAAGCCACACCCCUCACUGUGCAGACGUAGACCCAGAGAAAAAUGUCCGUCU